AUUGAACGCUGGCGGCAGGCCUAACACAUGCAAGUCGAGCGGAUGAGAGGAGCUUGCUCCUCGAUUUAGCGGCGGACGGGUGAGUAAUGCCUAGGAAUCUGCCUAGUGGUGGGGGAUAACGUUCCGUAAGGAACGCUAAUACCGCAUACGUCCUACGGGAGAAAGCGGGGGAUCUUCGGACCUCGCGCCAUUAGAUGAGCCUAGGUCGGAUUAGCUAGUUGGUGAGGUAAAGGCUCACCAAGGCGACGAUCCGUAACUGGUCUGAGAGGAUGAUCAGUCACACUGGAACUGAGACACGGUCCAGACUCCUACGGGAGGCAGCAGUGGGGAAUGUUGGACAAUGGGCGAAAGCCUGAUCCAGCCAUGCCGCGUGUGUGAAGAAGGUCUUCGGAUUGUAAAGCACUUUAAGUUGGGAGGAAGGGUAUUCACCUAAUACGUGAGUAUUUUGACGUUACCGACAGAAUAAGCACCGGCUAACUUCGUGCCAGCAGCCGAC
rnacentral:rRNA from 1 species